UACGGAGGGUGCAAGCGUUAUCCGGAAUCAUUGGGUUUAAAGGGUCCGCAGGCGGAUUUAUAAGUCAGUGGUGAAAGCCUAUUGCUCAACAAUAGAACUGCCAUUGAUACUGUAAGUCUUGAAUUCGGUCGAAGUGGGCGGAAUAUGACAUGUAGCGGUGAAAUGCUUAGAUAUGUCAUAGAACACCGAAAGCGAAGGCAGCUCACUAGGCCUGGAUUGACGCUCAGGGACGAAAGCGUGGGGAGCAAACAGGAUUAGAUACCCUGGUAGUCCACGCCGUAAACUAUGAUUACUCGUUUUCGGCGAUAUACAGUCGGAGACUAAGCGAAAGUGAUAAGUAAUCCACCUGGGGAGUACGAUCGCAAGGUUGAA
rnacentral:rRNA from 1 species